rnacentral:rRNA from 1 species
GACGAACGCUGGCGGCGUGCCUAAUACAUGCAAGUAGAACGCACAGUUUAUACCGUAGCUUGCUACACCAUAGACUGUGAGUUGCGAACGGGUGAGUAACGCGUAGGUAACCUGCCUGGUAGCGGGGGAUAACUAUUGGAAACGAUAGCUAAUACCGCAUAAUAUUGAUUAUUGCAUGAUAAUUGAUUGAAAGAUGCUAUUGCAUCACUACCAGAUGGACCUGCGUUGUAUUAGCUAGUAGGUGAGGUAACGGCUCACCUAGGCGACGAUACAUAGCCGACCUGAGAGGGUGGUCGGCCACCCUGGGACUGAGACACGGCCCAGACUCCUACGGGAGGCAGCAGUAGGGAAUCUUCGGCAAUGGACGAAAGGCUGACCGAGCAACGCCGCGUGAGUGAAGAAGGUUCUCGGAUCGUAAAGCUCUGUUGUAAGGGAAGAACGGGUGUGAGAGUGGAAAGUUCACACUGUGACGGUAUCUUACCAGAAAGGGACGGCUAACUACGUG